UAACAAUAUCUGAAGUGCUGAAAAAGUAGGUAUAAGUGCACAAAGGAUGACUAGUAUUCAUGUUAGCUUUUGAUAUAGGACAAAAGCCCACCUAAUCUAUCACAGGAUAGAAAAAUAUCCUUGAGAGUGGUCUAAUUUGUUGCUAUCUUAGAUGCUCUGCUUGCCGACACUCUAGGCCCUGCUCCAUAGAUGAGACAAUGACUGGCUUCGCAAAUUGCAGGAAAACACUACCCAGUGGCAUCUCUUUUUCUGAGACUCCAAAACAACUCCACGUGCUAUAUUUUGCUCUGCUAGUCAAGACUCAAGAGAACAAUGAGACAAUCAAAGGGUUGUUCAGUUCUUACAGCUGGAGAAGAUAGGGGAAGUAGGCAAAGUCCGGCGGGAGCUCGCCGGAGAAGUUCUGUCCCAUCAGCAAUCUGCAAAGAAAAUCCAAUCAGCCCCAAGAGCACAAUCUGUUAGUGCACAAAAUGUGCAAAUAUGAUCUGCUCUGAUCAACUCUGGUAUGAUCCCGUGUUGCCUGAUCGAAGGAGCUAAAAUACAGACAUCACAAUCUUGGAUCGGAGAGUCUGCCGGCGAGGAGAAAUCACGCAUACAUGCUAAUGACAUGGCAGACGGUACGAUUGGAGAAGGAGCAGUCGCAUUCCACGCCGCCGGAGCCACACGGGUCGGCGGCGAAGUCCCAAUGCGACACGCCGAGCUUGGCCGCGAUCCGGCGAAGAACACGAACUGCAAAAAGAGAUUGCAGGCGCAGGGUUUCAGCUGCUGAUGAGAACAGUAUUAUUUGCGUUGAAGAUGAAGGGGGAACAAAAGAGCUCCUGACUACAGCAACAUGCUGAGCAUUUUGCCCAUCUCCAUUGCUGUUGCAGCUCAGACUUUGCGCAUCGACCUUUAUCUGAUGAGCAAACAGCCAUGAAGGAGCAGAUUGCUCUGAACUUUUGGCAUCCAAAACAAAGGUGGCUCAAGAAGAAGUCUACCAAACAAAGGCCAUCCUGUCUCCCUUCCUCCCUCCCUCUCUCCAAACCAGUGAGGCUACAUAGCAAAGGAAAGCACAAUGCAGUACAGGUGCUGAGCAAGAAGAUACACACCUUCAGU